GAGGUGGCGGCGGCGGCGGCGGCGGCCACAGCGGCGGCGGCGGGGGCGGCGGCGGAGACCAGAGGCACGACGAGGGUGGGCAAGGCGAACCCCAGGGCAUGGUCGCGGGCAUCAUUGCGAGCGUUGGGCUGGCUAUAGGAGGAGCCAUUUCUGGCUUUAUUGCCUACCAGAAGAAGAAGCUGUGCUUCAAAGAAAACGCGGACCAGGGAGACAUCAACAUGGAGACCAACCGAACCACCAACACAGAGCCGCUAGUUCAACAGACGAUUGUGGAGAAAUAGAAGGCAGGCCACACACACAGCCGGACGGUCCCAGCAGAGCUGAAGGACCGGGCUGCUGCAUCUCCGAAGAACGGAUGUGGAGGGGUCGGGCAGCGCCGGCUGGGCCCGCCCGCCCGGCGCCAGCCUCGCCUUCUCCUGCCCCUGCUCAAGGUGGAUCCUUGGCUUGAAUCUUCAGAUGUGGUUCGCCUGUCCCUGGCCCGGGUGGGCGAUGUUGACCAACCAGGGCCUCCCCCUCCGCAGGGAAACUCCCCCUGACCGUCUCUGUCUCCAAGGCCCUCCAGGGUGCCCCCGGGAUGGGCAAAACGCCCGCCCCCAAGUCCCCGCCACGCCGGCUUCCGCACCCCGGAGCCGUUGACGCACCGAAUGUCCGCCAGGCCCCUCCGGAAGUCCCCAGGCAUCCGCCGUUUUGCAAAACGAGGGCAGCCUCCGAUCUGCUUCCUCACGAUGCCAUUUCUUAGGCUAUUUUUUACCGCAGGCGAAUAAAGAGAGAUGAGAAACCAUGUCCUUUCGUUCCCUGAAACACUUGGCUGGGGGGUGACGUUGGAAGAAGGCUUUGCGGCCUGGAGGGGGGGAAUCCCGCGGCCCGUUUUCUGGGGCUGUAAGGCCAAGCGUCAGCGGGAGUCCUUGCUCCUAGAUGCGGGGUUUUUCCCGUCGCCUUGUGCUUUUCCCUCGUCACAUCGGUGGCAAGGACUUCUCAGCAUUCAGGUACUGCCCCGUCAUUCGGAGACUCGCCUGCGUUGGGAUACUCCCCUGCCUUGAGAUACUCCUCUGCACCCAGGUACUCCCUAGCACGCAGGUACUCCUGUGCUUUCCCACACAACCCUUCUCCCACGUGGGUAGACUCCAGCCGUGGGUGAGGCGUGUGCACCAUGUCUACCCAAUGCUUUCCGUGCUUUGGUGCGAGAGCUCAUUGUAUGUUGGGGGCAAAACCGCCUUGGAGCAGAAACGCGCCCUUUCCCCCUUCGCGGUGCCCUGAAAAGCACCCGCCGCCGCCGCCUCGCCCGGAACGAUGAUGUCGCCCCGGGAGGAAGCCGUGCCCCGUUUCGGGCGACGUGCGCCCCGCGAGGCCUAGGACAGGCGCGCGCUCUGCGCAACUGCCGGGACGGGGCUCUGCCGGGCGGUCGUGUUCGUUGCCUGAAGCGCAGAAGCCCUGUCGUCCGCAACGACGCGGACGUCAUCGACGUGCUGUGGUCCCCCGAAGCCCGAGGAUGUCUCCCGCGCCGGUAAGGGCCGCUGCUCCUCAUCCCAGCCGCUCGAAGGUGGAGAGUUGGCACCCUUGGCGGGGCUGCCCCGCCCGCGGCCAGGUUGGGGGAAGCGGCUGUGCCGCCUUCGCUUCGGGGUCUUUAAGACCUGCCCGUCGCAGCCUGCGGGGCGGGCUGCCGGGGCAGGGCCCGCCUGCUGACGACACCCCGCGCCCCGUCCCCUGCUCUCCCCGGCCUCUGCUCCUCUCCACGGUCUAGCCCCUCAGUGCGUCAGGCUCGAGACUGACUGCCGGCCGAUUGGGAAUUUUAGCCCCUCUUCUGCCUCUGAUACCGUGGUACCGUCUGUACGAAACGGAGGGACAAGGAUAGGUCACCCCUGGUGAUCUGUCACGGCCCCACAAAUUCCUGCUGGGGGCCCCUCUACUCAGGUGUGUCCAGCAGGGGGCCUGGCGUUUUGGAUUCUAGGGGAGUGUCACACACCUGUUGUCUCAUUCAGGAAGGGACAGGGCGGACCGGUCGUCACCGCCUGAGGGGACCCAGGGAGCCAGGGCCCCUCGUUACAUGUUGGGGACCCCCUGCCUGGGUCCUACAGGCGGCUCCGAACCUGCGCCUUCCCCCCAGAUGGCCGUUGCGGUCCCGUGGUGCCCCCUGGUGGCCUUUGUAAACGAUACUAAAAGUGCAUAUAUUUUGUUCCUCUGAAUAACAUUGGCAUUUUAGAAGCCUAUUAAUGAUAUACUGUGAGCAUACAUGUCUCAUUCAGACAAAGAAGGCAAUACUGCAAGAGUGGGUAUUUUUUUAAAGUACCUGUAUUACGCAGUGUAUAAUGCGCACUUCUUUGGCCCACAUUUUUGAGGGAAAAAUAAGGAUGCGCAUUAUACACGGGUGGACCUAAUUCCCUCUCUAUGUACAUGUUUCCCAGUCUUUUAUGGAUGCUUAUGCGUUAAAAGUGUAACUGCAGGAAGCGAUAACGAUGUUUGUAUGCAACACAAUACCCUGGAAUACGAUAAUCUGUUUUGUUGCUAAAUGUAAAUAAAU